GUUGGGUUAAGUCCCGCAACGAGCGCAACCCCUGNUNCUAGUUGCCAACAGGUUAAGCUGAGCACUCUACAGGGACUGCCUGGGCAACCAGGAGGAAGGCGGGGAUGACGUCAAGUCCUCAUGGCCCUUAUGNNCAGGGCUACACACGUGCUACAAUGGGCGGUACAGAGNGCAGCNAACUCGCGAGAGCAAGCNAAUCNCACAAAGCCGUCCUCAGUUCNGAUUGCAGGCUGCAACUCGACUGCAUGAAGCUGGAAUCGCUAGUAAUCGGAGAUCAGCACNCUCCGGUGAAUACGUUCCCGGGCCUUGUACACAC
rnacentral:rRNA from 1 species